rnacentral:lncRNA from 1 species
CCAAGGUAAGGGUGAAAUAAAUCCUAAGGGGUACUAGGCUAAAAUUCAAAGAGAUAAAAGAGACUGCGGGAGUUGAAUUUACAAAAUAUUUCAUUCACUUGAACAACUCUAUAGCAAUUGUUUUCUCUUCUCCUUCUUCUUUUUAUUCUUUUUUUUUUGAAGGAGUAUGUAUUGACAUGUAUUGAAAUAUUACAAACAUAAUUCCUUUUUUUUCUUCCUCUUAUUCUUCUAUUUUUUCUUCCUCUUAUCCUUCUAUUUUUUCAUUCCUUUUUUUUCUUUUCUAUUUUUUUUUCUUUUUCUGCCAACUUCUGAAAUAUUACAAACAUAAUUAUUCAACCCCACACAACUCUAAACAAGACUCUUUCAACCCUUUGAAUAGAGUGAUAACAUUGUUUUUCACUUCUCGGCUUGUAAUGAGUUUUAAAUAAAAAAAUGAUAAUAGGCUCAAGGGGGUUUCAAACAAGGGAUGCAAUUAUUUUAGGGUUGGCUUUUUGGCUAUCUGGAUAAAAAAACAAAACAAAAUAAAAUUGCCUUUAUCAUAUCAGUGUGCACAAGUGAACAACAACAUCAACA